ensembl:lncRNA
UAACAUUUUAUUUGAUUUAUACAAUAACAUAAUAGUAUUCAGAUUAGUACAUAUACAGUAACAUACUAGUAUUCUGAUUAGUCAGUCCUGAUUGAAAUGUAUACAUAAUUAGUCAUCAUUGAUAAAAAUUCCCUUAACAGCCAGCCAGACCAGUUGGAUAACAUGAUAGAGCUCUAUGGCCAGUCAGACCAGUUGGAUAACAUGAUAAUAGAGCUCUUUGGCCAGCCAGACCAGUUGGAUAACAUGAUAGAGCUCUUUGGCCAGUCAGAUAACAUGAUAAUAGAGCUAUGGCCAGCCAGACCAGUUGGAUAUAACAUGAGAAUAGAGCUCUUUGACCAGUCAGAUAACAUGGUAAUAGAGCUCUUUGGCCAGUCAGAUAACAUGAUAGAGCUCUUUGGCCAGUCAGACAACAUGGUAAUAGAGCUCUUUGGCCAGUCAGAUAACAUGAUAAUAGAGCUCUUUGGCCAGCCAGACCAGUUGGAUAACAUGAUAGAGCUCUUUGACCAGUCAGACCAGUUGGAUAACAUGAUAAUAGAGCUCUUUGUCCAGUCAGAUAACAUGAUAAUAGAGCUCUUUGGCCAGUUGGAUAACAUGAUAAGAGCUCUUUGGCCAGUCAGACCAGUUGGAUAACAUGGUAAUAGAGCUCUUUGGCCAGUCAGAUAUAACAUGAUAGAGCUCUUUGGCCAGUCAGACCAGUUGGAUAUAACAUGAUGAGAGCUCUUUGGCCAGGCACUUGAACCCCAUUGAAAAGCUGUGUUUUGAAUGGAAGAGGGCAGACCAUAACCCCAGAGGAAGCAGGAUAUCUAUGAUCUGAAAGGAUUCUGUAUGGAGGGAUAGUUUAAGAUCCCUUCCUAUGUUUAUUACCUUCUCAGAAAACAUUUUAGAAAAAGGCCACGCCGUUAUCCUCGCAAGGUGAGGUAUUGAAAACUGGUGUCAAUUUUUACUAACAUUUGAGGAGAACAUUUUGUUUAACAAUCUCUUUGAACAAUUGUAUAAGUAUACAAUUUGGGAAAUGUUUAAGCAUAAAAUAUAACUCAGAAUAUGAAUUGUUUUUGCUCAUCUUUAUCAAGGGUGUCAAUCAUUUCAGCCCCCACUAUCCAGAAUAAUCACUAUGUUGAAUAUAAUUUCAGCCCCCACUAUAAUCACUACGUUGAAUGUGCUGGCUGGUUUGACUUUCAGAUGAUUGAUGAUGUCAUCUAGUUUCAUUAGGACCACUCCUCCUCCUCAACAUUCUUACCUACAGCUCAGACACUAGGCCACAGUAGCAGAGAUGUUCUGUUACCUACUGUACAGACACUAGGCUACAGUAGCAGAGAUGUUCUGUUACCUACUGUACAGACACUAGGCCACAGUAGCAGAGAUGUUCUGUUACCUACUGUACAGACACUAGGCCACAG